GUGCUUGCUCAGGCAGCACAUGUGAAAAAUUGGAAUCGAUACAGAGAAGAUUAGCAUGGCCCCUGCCUCAUGAGGACCUGCCCGUACUCGUUACCUACGUUG
rnacentral:snRNA from 1 species